rnacentral:rRNA from 1 species
GUAGGGAACCUUCCACAAUGGACGAAAGUCUGAUGGAGCAACGCCGCGUGAGUGAUGAAGGGUUUCGGCUCGUAAAACUCUGUUGUUGGAGAAGAACGGGUGUCAGAGUAACUGUUGACAUCGUGACGGUAUCCAACCAGAAAGCCACGGCUAACUACGUGCCAGCAGCCGCGGUAAUACGUAGGUGGCAAGCGUUGUCCGGAUUUAUUGGGCGUAAAGCGAGCGCAGGCGGUUUUUUAGGUCUGAUGU